AAAACGGCCCUUUUCAGGGCCACCAACUUGUUAAAGAGCUAGAAU
rfam:Daphnia magna strain Xinb3 scaffold01581, whole genome shotgun sequence.